rnacentral:rRNA from 1 species
UACGUAGGGGGCAAGCGUUGUCCGGAUUUAUUGGGCGUAAAGAGCUCGUAGGUGGUUCGGUAAGUCGGAUGUGAAAUCUCCAGGCUCAACCUGGAGGGGUCAUUCGAUACUGCCGUGACUAGAGGUCGGUAGGGGAGUGUGGAAUUCCUGGUGUAGCGGUGAAAUGCGUAGAUAUCAGGAGGAACACCUGUGGUGUAGACAGCUUACUGGACCACUUCUGACGCUGAGACACGAAAGCGUGGGUAGCAAACAGG